rnacentral:tRNA from 6 species
GGACGUGGCUCAGUUGGUAGAGCAUCACCUUGCCAAGGUGAGGGUCGCGGGUUCGAGUCCCGUCGUCCG